rnacentral:rRNA from 1 species
AACGAACGCUGGCAGCAUGCCUAACACAUGCAAGUCGAACGAGACCUUCGGGUCUAGUGGCGCACGGGUGCGUAACGCGUGGGAACCUGCCCUUAGGUUCGGAAUAACUCCCCGAAAGGGGUGCUAAUACCGGAUAAUGUCUUCGGACCAAAGAUUUAUCGCCUUUGGAUGGGCCCGCGUUGGAUUAGCUAGUUGGUAGGGUAAAAGCCUACCAAGGCGACGAUCCAUAGCUGGUCUGAGAGGAUGAUCAGCCACACUGGGACUGAGACACGGCCCAGACUCCUACGGGAGGCAGCAGUGGGGGAUAUUGGACAAUGGGCGAAAGCCUGAUCCAGCAAUGCCGCGUGAGUGAUGAAGGCCUUAGGGUUGUAAAGCUCUUUUACCCGGGAUGAUAAUGACAGUACCGGGAGAAUAAGCUCCGGCUAACUCCGUG